rnacentral:rRNA from 1 species
ACAGACAGCCAGGAUGUUGGCUUAGAAGCAGCCAUCAUUUAAAGAAAGCGUAAUAGCUCACUGGUCGAGUCGGCCUGCGCGGAAGAUGUAACGGGGCUAAACCAUGCACCGAAGCUGCGGCAGCGACGCUUAUGCGUUGUUGGGUAGGGGAGCGUUCUGUAAGCCGUUGAAGGUGUGCUGUGAGGCAUGCUGGAGGUAUCAGAAGUGCGAAUGCUGACAUAAGUAACGAUAAAGCGGGUGAAAAGCCCGCUCGCCGGAAGAC